AUCAAGAUCAACAGAAUCUGCAACAUCUGUUAAAUCACAUUCGUCUUCUAGCAGACCCAUUCCUUUACCUCCUUUCAAAAGACAGGGCUCCAUUUCUGAUACCAAGCCUGUUUCCUCUCCUACGAUGCACCAGUCAUUUGCCAUCCCAGCCCUUAGCACAGCUUCCUCAUCAUCUUCAGCUGGGGCAAGUAAGCCAUCAACAGGAAGUGGAUCAACCUCUUCACAAAAUGUAGCCAUGCAGUCAGCACUGAAGAGACUGCAGAUGGUCAAGAAGAAGGCACAACAGCGAGUAUUUAAUCAUCAACAGAUUCGCAUUCCCAGGAGAUAAAUCUAACUUUUGAUGGACCACUAUAAAUUAUGGUACAAAGCAGUUCCCAGGAGGACAAACAAUAUUGUCAUGAUUGUGUAUAGCCACAGCACAAAGUUUGACUUGCACCAUUUACACUAUAGCAUUAGCAUAUAUGUGUCUAAGGUCAUGUUCUAUUGGGAUCAACCAUUCCUGGUUGGUUGGGUUUUUUCGUAUUCUAUUGGGGAAAAACUGUUUUCGGUUGGUCUGGUUGAUCAGCUUUUUCAACCAGCCUGAACCAGGUUGAAACGGUUGAAAAAGCAUUUGCGUGAUUAUGUUGCAUGAUUGUGGCUCGCGUAAGGACUAUUCACAGUCCUGAGUUACCGUGUUUCAACCGAAAACAGUUAAAAAAGUGCUCUAUUGAGAAACAACAACUGUAUCAGCCCAAACCGGUUGCGGUUGAAAUGGUUGAUCUCCAGAAAACACAGGACAUGGUUAUUUCAUGUUGUUAGGGAGCUUAAGCAAUGAUGACAACACCACCAAGCUAAGAACGAGGGCUGGAAAAAAAUGGAUUUAUAAUUUACCUUAGUUUGAAUUUUGCAAUUAUCAUCUUGAACUGCUUAGUAAGCCAAGUGGUGUAAAACCCUGCUCAAUAUGAAAUUAGCUGUCAUGGCUCGAUUUCUUAAAAAAAAAAAAAAAAAAAAAAA